GGAGGAUGGUGGGCCAUUGCGACGCGGCAGAGUAGACGGCCGUCAGUCGUCGGGCAGGAGAGCCGUGGAUCAGAUCCAUGGAUCGGAAAGUUUGCUUUUCCGUCUAAUGGCUGCAGACCGGAAUUGAAUGCAGGACCGAGAGUCCUCUCGUCUAGGGCGUGGGUCAUUUGGAAGCUGAGGAAUGCGGGGAUAGAGGGAAGGAGCGCCGGCGGCGAGACACCAUGGAGUUUCUGAUGCAGCCCAUCGGCAGAUCCACUCUGCUUGACGAGGUAGGCAUAGUUUGGUGCCGGCUCCUGCGGCUCUGGGGUGGGGGAUUUUGAGGUGGCACAGCCGGUGGAGCGCGAGGCGGCGCAGCAUCGGAAGGUGGACAGUGCCAUAGUGGCGAGGCACAAAUCUUCUUGGGGAAGGAGACGACGGCGGACAGAAGAGAGAGCUCGCUGCUGACAUGCGAGCUGUCAACGAGGAAAAUGAACCUCCAAGCCCCUGGGUGGAAAAAGAGGUUGAUUGCUGUCUGCAACCAGAAAAUUCAUGCUAUAUGUGCCUCUGUUUGCAGGGUGAUUGCUCUCUACAGUCAGAAAAUUCCUGUGUUUGCAGGCUGAGGAUUGGUGUUGCUGCACCGAGCAAAACACCCUGCCCAAAUCGUAUAAAUGCGUUCGAGAAGGCAGUCAGGUGUUUUGCAAAGAACCCAGCUGAAAAUGUGAUCACACCGGUUCUUGGAAGAUGACAGGAAGCUCAGGGAGCAAGAGAAGGAUGUCGAGGUUGCGAGGAAGUGUCAGGAGGACACAGAGAGGAACACAAUGAAACAUUUUGUUGAAAUUUGUUGAUUAUUGGGCAUGUGGAAGAUGAUAGUUGUAUGUGUUGGUGCAGCCACAGAUGAGGAGAUCGCACACGCAUCUCGAGAUGUUACUGCUAGUGGGCCUGUAUAUAAUGUUGCUCAGGAAUCAACCCGGAAGGUGGUGGCAUGCCAGGUGGUUAGACAAGUUUGGAUGAUGGUGGCAUAUUGAUCGGAGCUGGCAAUUAAACUGCGGUGAUAAGUCCAAAAAACAAAAUCAAGAAAGAGAAUGAAAAUAUGAUUAUCGGGGAGUAUGACAUACCUAGUGACCCAAUGUGUGGUUCGCAGGGCGGAAUCGCAAUACUAGACGUGCCAGUGGUGGUGGGAGCAGCACUGUGAAGCAGUCUCGAUGCCGGAAGGGCAAUAAGAGAGCAAAAAGAAGAAGGAAUACGAGGUGGAGUUAGUUCGGUUCUCUAAUAUUGUUGAGAUGAUAUGCACAUGUCUCAGAGAGCUCAGAAAACAAUGGCACAAGCAGUGACGAUAGCAACAACGCUAGUGGUGAAGACGUGGGUUAUACUGGCCGCGCAAGUAAGGAAACAAAUAUUUGUGGAAGUACUUUAUUUUUGUUUGUUCAUGGAACCGUAUGUGCUAAACCUUGCAUCAUCAGGAUGUAAAACAGAGCCAACAGCCAUGGGUGCAACCAGAUGAAUUCGAAUAAUGAUCUCUCCUGAAAGUGUAGUCUGUAUUGUUUCGUGUGCUUUCUAGAACUGGUCGGUGCAAUCAUCAUGUUGUAGCUGCUGUGGGCAAAGAUUAUUGUGAUUUAGAUACACAGUCUGUGCAUGAGUAAUGUCUUUCCUGUGAAACAAAUUUAAUUAAGUGUCAAGUGUUGAGUCCCUAAAUUUGUUUGCA